GCUGGGAUUUUGGCUCAGUUGUGGAGCACUUGCCUUGUGUGUGUGAGGUACUGGGUUCAAUUCUCAGCACAGCA
rnacentral:tRNA from 1 species